rnacentral:rRNA from 1 species
CCGUAACUAUAACGGUCCUAAGGUAGCGAAAUUCCUUGUCGGGUAAGUUCCGACCUGCACGAAUGGCGUAAUGAUGGCCAGGCUGUCUCCACCCGAGACUCAGUGAAAUUGAACUCGCUGUGAAGAUGCAGUGUACCCGCGGCAAGACGGAAAGACCCCGUGAACCUUUACUAUAGCUUGACACUGAACAUUGAGCCUUGAUGUGUAGGAUAGGUGGGAGGCUUUGAAGUGUGGACGCCAGUCUGCAUGGAGCCGACCUUGAAAUACCACCCUUUAAUGUUUGAUGUUCUAACGUUGGCCCCUAAUCGGGGUUGCGGACAGUGUCUGGUGGGUAGUUUGACUGGGGCGGUCUCCUCCUAAAGAGUAACGGAGGAGCACGAAGGUUGGCUAAUCCUGGUCGGACAUCAGGAGGUUAGUGCAAUGGCAUAAGCCAGCUUGACUGCGAGCGUGACGGCGCGAGCAGGUGCGAAAGCAGGUCAUAGUGAUCCGGUGGUUCUGAAUGGAAGGGCCAUCGCUCAACGGAUAAAAGGUACUCCGGGGAUAACAGGCUGAUACCGCCCAAGAGUUCAUAUCGACGGCGGUGUUUGGCACCUCGAUGUCGGCUCAUCACAUCCUGGGGCUGAAGUAGGUCCCAAGGGUAUGGCUGUUCGCCAUUUAAAGUGGUACGCGAGCUGGGUUUAGAACGUCGUGAGACAGUUCGGUCCCUAUCUGCCGUGGGCGCUGGAGAACUGAGGGGGGCUGCUCCUAGUACGAGAGGACCGGAGUGGACGCAUCACUGGUGUUCGGGUUGUCAUGCCAAUGGCACUGCCCGGUAGCUAAAUGCGGAAGAGAUAAGUGCUGAAAGCAUCUAAGCACGAAACUUGCCCCGAGAUGAGUUCUCCCUGAGACUUAGAGUCUCCUGAAGGAACGUUGAAGACGACGACGUUGAUAGGCCGGGUGUGUAAGCGCAGCGAUGCGUUGAGCUAACCGGUACUAAUGAACCGUGAGGCUUAACCUU